rnacentral:misc_RNA from 1 species
AUGAUUGCGAAUGCCCACCUUCAGUGCUGGCUCUCUCCAGAGCAAGUGCACGUUGGUGGCUUUCCUCCAAUUCCACACCCUGUGAACCUUUGGCCUCUUGCUAGCCUCGGCUGGCAGAGGAUUUUACACAUACUCGAAUGUAAUGAAAAUUUAUUGUUGUGCGCAAGCACUAAUAUA